CAGCCUGAAUGACCAGAAGAAUGACGGUGCACUCCGUGAAGGUAAAGAAGCCAGCAAGAAGAUCCGAUCUGGGGCGGUUGGGGGAGAUCAAGGAAGAAACAGAGGAACUUGCCCAGAGUCACACAGCCUGGGAGCACCUGACGCAGGUCCGGAUGACUCCAAAUCCAGUGCCCUGAGCAACUGGGUGGCAUCACGGACAGAGUUCCGGACUCCGGAGCCAGGGUGACCUGGGUUCAAAGUUUGCCUUAGACCCUUAUUGGUAGAUGUGCAGCACUGGGGAAAUCACUCGCCCUCUCUCAGAUUCAGUUUCCUUAUUUGUGAAAUGAUGUUGGGAGGAUCUAAUGAAAUAGCACGAGCAGUCAUUUUGUGCACCUCAGAGGGCUGUAGAGUGCUAGUUCUACCCUCGCCAGAGGACCUUCUGCGGAGAGAUACGCUCGUUCAGCCUUCAUUGGUCCACCUCUACACCACCAAAGGACCUCUCCACCCUCCUUGGAACCCGAGCCUGCUAGGCUUCCUGGGUUCUUCAGUCUGCUGCACUUGGUCCUGAAUUACCUCCAUCUCUGACCUCCAGGAUAUCUGUAACUGGAUGCCCAGCUCUGGCAGCCAUCAUCUUUUUCCCUUCAGUAAGAAGUAACCUAUCACCACCCACUGCAGUGGCUAUGUGAGCGGGAAGAGCAGGGAGCAGAAGGGGUUAGCUGGGUGAGGGUGUCGCUGUUCUGCUGCUGCCGUGUUCAGGUCAAAGCAGGGGGGCUAAAGCUGAGCCCCCAGAGCAGUGGUGCUAAAGAUCUGAAGCUAUCUUAUCUGAAUGAAUGACAAGAGGAUCUGAGACCCAAGACCUCUUUCUGUGGUUCCCUAUAGCCUGGCCCAGCUUCGAGCUCACCUUCCUUUUCUCCCUGCCUCCCCCUCUCCCCCAGUGUCUGGUCCCUCUUCCUCGCUGAUGAACACCCUCCCCUACCCCUUCAGAGCUGGACUGUAAGCUUCUUGUUGGACUCUCCAGGUCUUCUGUACUUGAGUCUGUUUGCACUUCCCAGGCAGCAUGGCAGAGUGGAUGGAGUAUUGGGGUUCAAUCAACAAGCCCCAGGUUCAAAUCUCAUCUCUGAUACAUCCUCAUAGUUCUUAUAUAGGGAUAUUGUAUAGAUGGAGAUUUUGAACCUUUGACUUCAUUCCCCAGAAGUCCUUAGUAUUUCCCCAAAUUCCCUAUAAUCUCUCCUGCAUCUCCACAUUGGCAAGAUCACGUUAUUGGUGUUUGACUGGCUGUAACUCCUCCCUGGCUCUCUUUUUGAUCUGUGAUCGAGCUGAAUUCAAGCAGUUCUUUUGCUUUAGUUAUUAUCAAUAA
rnacentral:lncRNA from 1 species